AGAGUUUGAUCAUGGCUCAGAUUAAACGCUGGCGGCAUGCCUUACACAUGCAAGUCGAACGGCAGCACGGGGUGGUAACACCCUGGUGGCGAGUGGCGAACGGGUGAGUAAUACAUCGGAACGUACCCUGAAGUGGGGAUAACGUAGCGAAAGUUACGCUAAUACCGCAUAUUCUGUGAGCAGGAAAGAGGGGGAUCGCAAGACCUCUUGCUUUAGGAGCGGCCGAUGUCGGAUUAGCUAGUUGGUGAGGUAAAGGCUCACCAAGGCGACGAUCCGUAGCGGGUCUGAGAGGAUGAUCCGCCACACUGGGACUGAGACACGGCCCAGACUCCUACGGGAGGCAGCAGUGGGGAAUUUUGGACAAUGGGCGCAAGCCUGAUCCAGCCAUGCCGCGUGAGUGAAGAAGGCCUUCGGGUUGUAAAGCUCUUUCGGUGGGGAAGAAAUUGCUACGGUUAAUACCUGGAGUAGAUGACGGUACCCGCAUAAGAAGCACCGGCUAACUACGUG
rnacentral:rRNA from 1 species